CUUAUUGUAAGUUUCAACUGAAUCGUAUGCAAUGCAACUUUUGCUGCUCGUUUGAGAGGUAAGUCAUUGUAAGAUCAAUUCUCCCAUGAUUACACGUCAGGCUAUUGGAGGGAUCCUAUAGCAAAGCAAUGUAUCAUGUUACGUGAAAAGUGGACUGGGUUGUUCCUCUAGUUAAACCACAAUACAACGUAAAUGAUCCAGUUACGAGUCUACUCUACGAAUCAGAAAAUACACUCAAUGUGAUAGAGUUGGCCAUACCAAACCAUAUGUUCCAACCACGUGAUCUCCUUCUCCAUCUUUACCUUAACAUCACGAAAUUUUCUUGUCCAACCACCCUCUAGAUCCCCUCAAGAAACGAUUGUAGCCCACUUUUCCCCAAGGAUAGUCAAAAAAAAAUAUCCAGGUUGUCGAUGAUGGAUAAUGUGUCGAUAUUGAUACAUACAUUAUUAUCUAGACUACUGAAUACUCCUUCGAAAAUUAAAGCAAGAUUGAACUUGUAUGGGUCAACUUAGGGCGUCGACGAUCAGAGAAAAGCUUUCUCUAGUUGGGCACAUAAAAUCUUGUACUAUAUUUGAAGUAUUUGUCCUUUAGCCUCCUUUUUUUCCAAGACUUCAGUAAACUCAUCGCCUUUCGAGGAGAGACUGCAUUUUAGUCCCAUCACAACUACAUACUCUUGCAGUUUGAACCUUGUCAAGUGCCCUUGUACAUUAAACUAUAACUCAUUUUCCUUAUCAGUUCUAUUCUGAAUACUAGUUGUUGGAUCAAUUGGGUCGAGAAUUGUAUGUCAGAUAGCUUGGCCAAGAGCCCAAGGCAUAAGUUACCGAAAUCUUCCUACAGUCUAUCAUCAAAAUUCUCCAAUACGAUUUUCAUGAACUUGAAAUUCCUCAUUUGUGAAAUUGAGGUGGGCAAGUGCACAUUUUUGGGAACUAGAAAUUUAAAAUUUUAAUAUGCAAGAACAAGGUACAACAUGAAAGCAAAAAAGAUCAGAUUAUAAUAGUUUGUACACGUUAAUGCAAAACACACAUAUUUUUUAGAUGAAUCAAAGUUGGACAUGUCGACAUAUGAUUGCAAAAUUGAUUUGUCGAGAAGCAGUCAUCUGUCGAGAACAAUAGUGCAUCUAUCGAUAACGACAGUUCAUAUCGAUAGAUGAUUCAACUAAUAUAUCAAUAUGUUUGUUUAUGUUAUCUAUGAAGUAUUAGUAAUUAAAAGUGCCUAUUUUCUAGUUCCAGUCUAUAAUUAAAAGUGCAUAUUUUCGCAUAGUAAAAAAUGCAAAUAGUACAAUUUCUCAACUUAUAUAAUGAGAGAGAUAAAUGAACACACAUAGACAGCACAAGCAAUCGAUCCUCUUUAGACAAAAAAAAAAUCAAAUUUCAUUUGUGAAAGCUAGUAACAUGAAGAGAUAAUAAAAGUUGAAUGAUGAUAUGCCAUAUAUUUUAUUCACAACACACAUAGAAAAUAACCUGAACUAAAUUGGCAUAUGAUAAACACUCGAGAAAAGUGAUCAAAAUGUGAUAUUUAUAAUCCAUCAAUGGCAUAGGUUCCAUUUGGUUAUCUUUGGGAUGAUAAAUGGCGUACUUAACUCAAUGGUUAGGGUAAUGCUUUCAUACAGUAUGAGAAUUCAAGCAAUUAAUUGCCGAGAACAACAUUUUACCUUGAUAGAGGGUUCCAUAACUGUUAUAAUUGACAUUUACAUUUCACAUUGAAAUCGGUAUUCCAAGACAGGAAGGGUUUAGGUUAUGAUAAAUUUGAUUAGUAUAAAUUUCUCAUUAAAAUCUAAUAACAGCUUACGUAACAACAUCACUCACAUAAGUAAAAUAACAGAGCACACAAGUUGUUCUAAUCAAGUAGCUUAUCACUUAACAUUAAUAUAAAAGAGUAUAUUGCUAACUUAAUGUCAAUAUCAAUGGCAAGCAUGAUUGGAAGGAAUCCUACAUAGCAACAACAUAAGGCAACCAUGUAAUAAUCCAACAAUUAAUUAAGAGAUAUAUUAUGCAUUGAAAUGUUACAAUCAAACUCCUUCAAAAGCAAAUUGUAGAUACCAAGUUACGGAUUCAGUAAAUGGCUAAAAUUCACUUGGGGUAAUGUCAAUUUAUAAUUCAAAAUUCAUAGUUAUGGGUUCAGCAUAUAGCUAAAAUAUACUUAGUGUACUUCUCGCCCAUCUUCGUCCCCAAUUUAUUCCCCAUAUGUAAGAAACAAAAUCACAUGUUAUUAAAGGAAAUUUUACUUUUCACACUAUUUACAAUAUCUCAAUAAUAUGAACACACUUCUCAUAGUCUCAAAACAAGAAAGUCUAAAAUUUGCGAUACACACAUGGAAAUGUCGUGCAAAACAAAGAAAUUAAGAGAAAAAUCAUUACUUCUGGUAAAAUAAUAGAGACCAACUAAAAUUUCUCAAGAAAAAACAUGACCAACCAAAAUUCCUCAAGAAAAAACAUACCCCAUCAAAGAAAUAGAAUUAACACUUGAGGAAGCUAAACCUUCUAAUUAAAUCUUGGGGGAAAUACGAAAGAAAUCGAUUUAUAUAUGUAUAUAGCGGAUUGUUUGUACAUCAAAUCAUCCAUAUUUCCACUUUUAAAUAGAAAACCAACUUGCACCAUAGAAUCAAAACAAGAAAAUAAAAUGAAGCUAAUACCUGAUUUAAUGUGAACGAUAGCCAACAAAUGAAUAAAAACGACGGGCUGAGUACAAAUUUACGAUUUCAAUGCGUCUGCUGAUCUUUAAAAAUUGGGGAAAAUCUACUUGUUAAAGUUUGGAAAAAGGAAAUCGCAGCCCCGAUGACGUAUAUAGGUUUCAUUUCGUCGCUUACCUUCAGAAUUUGGAUUUAAUCCAAGUUUGAAUUUGGGAAGAAGAAACGCGUAAUUUUUUUUAAUUAGGGUUUGAUUUGGGAAGUUUAGGAUUAGAUAACGAGGGGAUGAACACUAUGGCUUUGUGGAAAUUAUUAAAG
rnacentral:lncRNA from 1 species